rnacentral:rRNA from 1 species
GACGAACGCUGGCGGCGUGCUUAACACAUGCAAGUCGAACGGAAAGGCCCUGCUUUUGUGGGGUGCUCGAGUGGCGAACGGGUGAGUAACACGUGAGUAACCUGCCCUUGACUUUGGGAUAACUUCAGGAAACUGGGGCUAAUACCGGAUAGGAGCUCCUGCUGCAUGGUGGGGGUUGGAAAGUUUCGGCGGUUGGGGAUGGACUCGCGGCUUAUCAGCUUGUUGGUGGGGUAGUGGCUUACCAAGGCUUUGACGGGUAGCCGGCCUGAGAGGGUGACCGGCCACAUUGGGACUGAGAUACGGCCCAGACUCCUACGGGAGGCAGCAGUGGGGAAUAUUGCACAAUGGGCGGAAGCCUGAUGCAGCAACGCCGCGUGCGGGAUGACGGCCUUCGGGUUGUAAACCGCUUUCGCCUGUGACGAAGCGUGAGUGACGGUAAUGGGUAAAGAAGCACCGGCUAACUACGUGCCAGCAGCCGCGGUGAUACGUAGGGUGCGAGCGUUGUCCGGAUUUACUGGGCGUAAAGGGCUCGUAGGUGGUUGAUCGCGUCGGAAGUGUAAUCUUGGGGCUUAACCCUGAGCGUGCUUUCGAUACGGGUUGACUUGAGGAAGGUAGGGGAGAAUGGAAUUCCUGGUGGAGCGGUGGAAUGCGCAGAUAUCAGGAGGAACACCAGUGGCGAAGGCGGUUCUCUGGGCCUUUCCUGACGCUGAGGAGCGAAAGCGUGGGGAGCGAACAGGCUUAGAUACCCUGGUAGUCCACGCUGUAAACGGUGGGUACUAGGUGUGGGGUCCAUUCCACGGGUUCCGUGCCGUAGCUAACGCUUUAAGUACCCCGCCUGGGGAGUACGGCCGCAAGGCUAAAACUCAAAGGAAUUGACGGGGCCCCGCACAAGCGGCGGAGCAUGCGGAUUAAUUCGAUGCAACGCGUAGAACCUUACCUGGGUUUGACAUGGAUCGGGAGUGCUCAGAGAUGGGUGUGCCUCUUUUGGGGUCGGUUCACAGGUGGUGCAUGGCUGUCGUCAGCUCGUGUCGUGAGAUGUUGGGUUAAGUCCCGCAACGAGCGCAACCCUUGUUCACUGUUGCCAGCACGUUAUGGUGGGGACUCAGUGGAGACCGCCGGGGUCAACUCGGAGGAAGGUGGGGAUGACGUCAAGUCAUCAUGCCCCUUAUGUCCAGGGCUUCACGCAUGCUACAAUGGCUGGUACAGAGAGUGGCGAGCCUGUGAGGGUGAGCGAAUCUCGGAAAGCCGGUCUCAGUUCGGAUUGGGGUCUGCAACUUGACCUCAUGAAGUCGGAGUCGCUAGUAAUCGCAGAUCAGCAACGCUGCGGUGAAUACGUUCCCGGGGCU